UGGGGAAUAUUGCGCAAUGGACGAAAGUCUGACGCAGCAACGCCGCGUGAGGGAUGACGGCCUUCGGGUUGUAAACCUCUUUCAAUCGGGACGAAGCGAAAGUGACGGUACCGAUACAAGAAGCACCGGCUAACUAUGUGCCAGCAGCCGCGGUAAUACAUAGGGUGCAAGCGUUGUCCGGAUUUAUUGGGCGUAAAGAGCUCGUAGGCGGUUCAUCACGUCGGAUGUGAAAACUUGGGGCUUAACUCCAAGCCUGCAUCCGAUACGGGUGAACUAGAGAGCAGUAGGGGAGAUUGGAAUUCCUGGUGUAGCGGUGGAAUGCGCAGAUAUCAGGAGGAACACCAGUGGCGAAGGCGGAUCUCUGGGCUGUAUCUGACGCUGAGGAGCGAAAGCGUGGGGA
rnacentral:rRNA from 1 species